AACAUGGUUAAUGCUAAGUUGGCUAACUGCUACUUGAACAUAGCCUUAGUCCUCACUUUUCUUCUCAUUCUACCUCCGUCCCAGGAACGAGUUCUCAGUAUGAACAUUUAAUUGCUUAAAUUUUAUACGUUAAUUAGUUGUUACAUAAAAUAUUUUUCCAUUAUCUUUGAACUUACAUUCUAUUUAUUUGUGUGUUUUGUCUCCUCCAGCAUCUAACAACGGGAUGUUUCACGCCCUUCCACAUUGUACGACAGUUUAUAAUAUAGAUACUGGUGACACUUGCGACAAUAUUAUCCAAUCUUUCGAUGUGAAAGCAGA
rnacentral:lncRNA from 1 species